UGUCCCCUUGAGGGCGUUUGCCUUCCGGAGCUAACGCAAUAAAUCGACCCGCCUGGGGAGUACGGCCGCAAGGUUAAAACUCAAAUGAAUUGACGGGGGGCCCCACAAGCGGUGGAGCAUGUGGUUUAAUUCGAUGCAACGGGAAGAACCUUACCUGGUUUUGACAUCCACAGAACUUUGCAGAGAUGGAUUGGCGCCUUCGGGAACUGUGAGACAGGUGCUGCAUGGUUGUCGUCAGCUCGUGUUGUGAAAUGUUGGGUUAAGUCCCGCAACGAGCGCAACCCUUAUCCUUUGUUGCCAGCGGUUAGGCCGGGAACUCAAAGGAGACUGCCAGUGAUAAACUGGAGGAAGGUGGGGAUGACGUCAAGUCAUCAUGGCCCUUACGUCCAGGGCUACACACGUGGUACAAUGGCAUAUACAAAGAGAAGCGACCUCGCGAGAGCAAGCGGACCUCAUAAAGUAUGUCGUAGUCCGGAUUGGAGUCUGCAACUCGACUCCAUGAAGUUGGAAUCGCUUGUAAUCGUAGAUCAGAAUGCUACGGUGAAUACGUUUCCGGGCC
rnacentral:rRNA from 1 species